AUUGAACGCUGGCGGCAUGCCUUACACAUGCAAGUCGAACGGCAGCACGGGGCAACCUGGUGGCGAGUGGCGAACGGGUGAGUAAUGCAUCGGAACGUACCUUUCAGUGGGGGAUAACGUAGCGAAAGUUACGCUAAUACCGCAUAUUCUGUGAGCAGGAAAGCAGGGGAUCGCAAGACCUUGCGCUGAUUGAGCGGCCGAUGUCAGAUUAGCUAGUUGGUGAGGUAAAGGCUCACCAAGGCGACGAUCUGUAGCGGGUCUGAGAGGAUGAUCCGACACACUGGAACUGAGACACGGUCCAGACUCCUACGGGAGGCAGCAGUGGGGAAUUUUGGACAAUGGGGGCAAGCCUGAUCCAGCCAUGCCGCGUGAGUGAAGAAGGCCUUCGGGUUGUAAAGCUCUUUCGGCCGGGAAGAAAUCGCAUCAGCUAAUACCUGGUGUGGAUGACGGUACCGGAAUAAGAAGCACCGGCUAACUACGUGCCAGCCGCCGCGGUAAGAC
rnacentral:rRNA from 1 species